ACAAAGAAGAUUUUGAUCCUGGCUCAGGAUGAACGAUAGCUACAGGCUUAACACAUGCAAGUCGAGCGGAACUGCUUCGGCAGUUUAGCGGCAGACGGGUGAGUAACACGUAUCCAACCUGUCCCUUACUCGGGCAUAGCCUCGGGAAACUGAGAGUAAUCCCCGAUGAAGUGUACGCAAUGCAUAUUAUGCACACCAAAGAUUUAUCGGUGAGGGGUGGGGAUGCGUUCCAUUAGGUAGUAGGCGGGGCAACGGCCCACCUAGCCGAUGAUGGAUAGGGGUUCUGAG
rnacentral:rRNA from 1 species